rnacentral:rRNA from 1 species
AUACGGGGGGUGCAAGCGUUAAUCGGAAUUACUGGGCGUAAAGCGCGCGUAGGCGGUUUGCUCAGUCGGAUGUGAAAGCCCAGGGCUCAACCUUGGAACUGCAUACGAUACUGGCAAACUAGAGUGUGAGAGAGGAUAGUGGAAUUUCCGGUGUAGCGGUUAAAUGCGUAGAUAUCGGAAGGAACAUCAGUGGCGAAGGCGACUGUCUGGCUCAACACUGACGCUGAGGUGCGAAAGCGUGGGUAGCAAACAGAAUUAGAUACCCUAGUAGUCC